CCUACGGGAGGCUGCAGUGGGGAAUAUUGGACAAUGGGGGCAACCCUGAUCCAGCCAUGCCGCGUGUGUGAAGAAGGCCCUCGGGUUGUAAAGCACUUUCAGUGAGGAAGAACGCCUGGUGGUUAAUACCCAUCAGGAAAGACAUCACUCACAGAAGAAGCACCGGCUAACUCCGUGCCAGCAGCCGCGGUAAUACGGAGGGUGCGAGCGUUAAUCGGAAUUACUGGGCGUAAAGCGUGCGUAGGUGGCUUGAUAAGCCGGUUGUGAAAGCCCCGGGCUCAACCUGGGAACGGCAUCCGGAACUGUCAAGCUAGAGUGCAGGAGAGGAAGGUAGAAUUCCCGGUGUAGCGGUGAAAUGCGUAGAGAUCGGGAGGAAUACCAGUGGCGAAGGCGGCCUUCUGGACUGACACUGACACUGAGGUGCGAAAGCGUGGGUAGCAAACAGGAUUAGGUACCCGAGUAGUC
rnacentral:rRNA from 1 species